AUAGCAGAUAUUUUGGCUUUGUUUUGGCAAAUGUCUGUCAGUUUAUGGCUUUCUUUUGGCACGCCUAGGCUUUUGGCAACAUUUUGGCAUGGUUAUGGUUGACCUGGGCGCCAGUGAAUUGUUGCAUUCGUCUGGAAAGCCAAAAACCUGAGAUUUGGCUAAAUUGUGGGUUGUUUAUGGCUUCCCAUAACACAUUAAAACGCGCGUACUGAGAAUGAAAGAGUUAUGGCCAGGUUAUGGCAUGUGUCGGUAAAUCUGAACCUCGGGUGGAGAGCGGGACAGCAACGUUCUACAUUUGGUGCGCAUACGGCAACACAAAAGACUGCCAGAAUCAACUGUCACCAGAGAAACUCCAGUCGUGCUACUGCUGACUGCCUCACUUCAGUUUACCCAGCGCUAGUGUGUGUCAGACUUGAGUUUAUGAAGAUGUGCUGCUGCUACUGAAGGCAGUCGUCCGGUGGAGGAAAACGUUUUUUUUUUUUUGACAGGCAUGCUACAGAUGCUGUGACGGACACUGCAGUCACCUGUAGGAGGGGUCAAUCAAAUCAGAUCUCAAAAACAGAUGACGCGAAAAGAAGUUUAAUCUGAUCUACCAAGGCGCCAAUAGAGUACCCUCUUUUACUGGCCAGGGGACCAAGAUGAAAACAAGAGGCCUGCCCUUAGCAUCCAGAAUCCCAGUACCCAGACAUUCAAGCACCCAUCAAGUCACCUAGCCCUCCACCACCUGCCACGCAGCUUUAACCAUCCAUCAAAUCAAGCCACUUGCCCACCCUAACCAGUCACUGCAUCUGGAGGCAAUAAAGUAUAAUGAAAUGUA